AUGGGUCGGCAAAAAAUUUGGAGGGAUAGGAUCGAUGCCCACAACAGAUUGAUCAGGCAUUAUUUUGCGGAGAAUCCCACAUACCCCGAGUCGUAUUUUCGUCGCCGGUUUAGGUUGAGCACCGAGUUGUUCAGGCGCAUUGCAUAGAAACUAGCGAGCCAUGACCGCUUUUUUCAGCAAAGGAGGAAUGCCGCCGGAGAGCACGGGCAUAGCACCUUUCAGAAGGUGACAGCCGAUUUGCGUAUGUUGGCAUACGGUAUACCGGCUGAUUUGUGCGUUCGUUAUUGUAUUGUUGAACUAUUUGUUUUGUUUAAUUGCACUAUUUGUUGUAUUGAACGAUAA
rnacentral:rRNA from 1 species